rnacentral:tRNA from 1 species
GGCACUGUGGCCGAGUGGUUAAGGCGCUGCCCUGCUACUUGCUUCGUGAAGCAAUAUCAGCCAAGGCAGUCCAUUCGUGGGCGCGUGUUCGAAUCACGUCGGUGUCG